rnacentral:lncRNA from 1 species
UUGUUAAAUAAUACAAAACUAUUGGCUUAAAUGGGCUAGCAUCCUGUCCUGUGGCAGAAGGCCAUGUUGAGGCGAGUCACGUUCGAAAUGGCGUGAGACUGGGUAGGCCGAGUCAUAUUUGAAGUGGCGUGAGGCCGGAUGGGCCGAGUCACAAUUGUGAUCCGGGGGCGUUGUAUCUGUACGCUUUAAGUUAAUUGGUUGCGUAUUUCUAACAGCUCGAGCUUUUGGGAUUAAUGGUUAGCGCCAACGAUCCGACAAGUGGCAUCCGAGACAGAGCUCAUGGGUUCAAUUUUCGCAUGCUGCAAAUAUGUCCAGAUGCUGGAGGGGGAAUUAUUGGCUUAAAUGGGCCAGCAUCCUGUCCUGUAGCAGGAGGCCAUGCGAGCUUUUGGGAUUAAUGGUUAGCGCCAACGAUCCGACAGAAACAAUCAUUAUUUUCUAAAAACUUAAACUAAUAGAGAACGAUGUUUAAAAUAUAAAAUCAUGUUUGCGCUUGGAACUUUUAACUAAGCGCAUGACAUGGAUUUGAAUUAAAUGGGAGGAAUUAAUAAUAUUAGUAGUCUGACGUGAGUCGAGCUUUUGGAAUUAAUGGUUAGCACCAACGAUCCGACAGAAACAACUAUUAUUUUUUAAAAACUUAAACUGAUAGAGAACGAUGUUUAAAAUAAAAAAUCAUGUUCGGGGUCGAAUUUACUAGGCGAUAUGAAUUUGAAUUAAAUGAGAGAAAUUAAUAAUAUUAGGAGUCUGACGUGAUUAGAACUCAGGAACCCCUACUCUAAUACUAUAUUAAAUAAUACGAAAUAACCGUUAUUUUCUAAAAACUUAAUUAAGCUGAUAGCGAUGUUUAAAUAUUUUUUUAUUUAAUAUUAAUAAAUAUGAAGUUAAUUGAACCAUUAACCUACCAUUCUAUGGUUCAGUACUAAGAUGACUGGUUUUAUUAGGUUUAAAUACAUAAACAUUUUGUUUGGCUUAUUUUUUUGAUUCAUUUAAAAAGUUUAUAAUAUUUGGCGCACAAGGAGUAUGAUCAAAGUAUUUAAAUAUUUGACUAUCAAGUUAUUUUUCAGAAAAAUAAAGAUAAUUUUAUAAGUGAAAUAUUAAACUCCUGACACCUAAUCAUACAAAAUAGAGAUGUCAACGGGUCGGAUUCGGAGCGGAUUUUUAAAAUCCGAACCCGUACCCGACUCCAAACCCGAAACCUGAACCCGAACCCGAACCCGACGGAUUUUAAAAAUCCAUAUCCAAACCCGAACCCGACCAAAAAUCCGAAACCCGAACCCGAACCCAAACCCAACAAUUUAAACCCGAAACAAUUAUUUCUUUUUUCAAUAUUUCAAAAUAUAUUAUAUUAAAUCUAAAUUUUUAAAAUACAAAUUCAAAUAUAACAUCAAAUUUUUUUUAUAUUUAUUAUAUAUAAUGCAAGAUAAAUUCGGGUUCGGGUCGGGUUCGGGUCGGGUACAAUCAAAAUCCAUAUCCGAAUCCAUAUCCGUCGGGUUUCUAUUUUUAAUAUCUAUAUCCGAAUCCAUAUCCAUAUCUAUCGGAUAUAUCCGUUUCAUUCGGGUUCGGGUUCGGAUAAAAUUUCGGAUAUCCAUACCCAUUGACAUCCCUAAUACAAAAUGAAAAAAAAAAAUUGUAUAAUUAAAUCAUCAUCAAGAUAAUUUAUUCCGAAAUUCAAACAGAAUAUUAAAGUUAAGGAAUUUUUUGACCACAGGUUUAUUUGAAAACGAUAAAUUAAAAAGAUUUUAGAAUCUAACGGAAGAAAGGUAAUUUCAUAUAGGUCCCUACAAAUAUAGUGAAUUGCAAAUAAAUUCCUACAAAAUUUAACUUUUAUAUAUUGUCUCUAUAAAAGUUCUAAUGUUUUCAAAAAUGUCCCUCUGAUUUGUUACCGUUAUAGAACUGUUUAUAUUUUAAGUAAAAUAUAAAUUUUUGCACCACAAAUAUGUUUUUCCAAAAAAGCAUAAUAGUAUAAUAUAAGAGGGGCAAAAAUGCCAACUUAUCUUAUAAACUAAUCAAGCUUAAGUAUUUAACCUAUGAUUAAAUAAAAUUUUCUAACGGAUUCUAACAGAACGGAGAUAUUUGAAAAUAUUAGGGUUUUUGUAGAACAACAUAUAAAAGUUAAAUUUUGUAGAAAUAUAUUUGCAACUCACUAUAUUUGUAGUGACCUGUAUAAGAUUAACCCUAGAAUUAAUUAAAAUGUUAGGACCUAAAAUUA